rnacentral:rRNA from 1 species
AACGUAGGAGGCGAGCGUUAUCCGGAUUUACUGGGCGUAAAGCGCACGCAGGCGGCUUCGUGAGUCGGAUGUGAAAGCUCCUGGCUUAACUGGGAGAGGCCAUUCGAUACUGCGGGGCUUGAGGUUGGGAGAGGGGUGUGGAAUUCCCGGUGUAGUGGUGGAAUGCGUAGAUAUCGGGAGGAACACCAGUGGCGAAGGCGGCACCCUGGCCCACACCUGACGCUGAGGUGCGAAAGCGUGGGUAGCAAAC